rnacentral:rRNA from 1 species
ACGGGAGGCAGCAGUGAGGAAUAUUGGUCAAUGGAGGAAACUCUGAACCAGCCAAGUCGCGUGAGGGAAGAAUGCCCUACGGGUUGUAAACCUCUUUUGCCGGGGGAUAAACCUGACCACGUGUGGUCAGCUGAAGGUACCCGGUGAAUAAGCAUCGGCUAACUCCGUGCCAGCAGCCGCGGUAAUACGUAGGGAGCAAGCGUUAUCCGGAAUUACUGGGUGUAAAGGGAGUGUAGGCGGGACUGUAAGUCAGAUGUGAAAUAUGCCGGCUCAACUGGCAGACUGCAUUUGAAACUGCGGUUCUUGAGUGAAGUAGAGGUAAGCGGAAUUCCUAGUGUAGCGGUGAAAUGCGUAGAUAUUAGGAGGAACAUCAGUGGCGAAGGCGGCUUACUGGGCUUUAACUGACGCUGAGGCUCGAAAGCGUGGGGAGCAAACAGGAUUAGAUACCCUGGUA